CGGGUGAGUAAUACAUCGGAACGUGUCUUCUAGUGGGGGAUAACUGCCCGAAAGGGCAGCUAAUACCGCAUGAGACCUGAAGGUGAAAGCGGGGGAUCGCAAGACCUCGCGCUGGAAGAGCGGCCGAUGUCCGAUUAGCUAGUUGGUGAGGUAAAGGCUCACCAAGGCGACGAUCGGUAGCUGGUCUGAGAGGACGACCAGCCACACUGGGACUGAGACACGGCCCAG
rnacentral:rRNA from 1 species